rnacentral:pre_miRNA from 1 species
UGAUGUUGUUUAUGAUGAUGAUGAUGUUGUUGAUGAUGAUGAUGAUUUUUUAAAAAUUAAUCGUCAUUAUCAUCGUCAUCAUCAUCGUCGUCAUCAUCAUCAUCGUCA